rnacentral:lncRNA from 1 species
CGAUUUGUAGACGAUGAGAAGGAUGUUGUGAAGAGCGAUGGAAAAAGAUUCGUGACCUUUUGAUUUCGAGUGAGAGAGAGCGCUCUUCUCGAGUGGUUUUUUUUUGUUUUUGCUUGAAUGACCAAUGAGGGAGAGAUGAGUGAGGGAGAGGAAAUGGGACCCAUCCCUUUUUAUUUUUCAGCUUUUUCCUUUUAUUUCUU